CUCAAGAACUCCACAACUAACUUCACAAGGAGGCAUCAGCAAAAGCAACACAAGGCAGUUUCCUUCCUCGUCUUUACUCUUCACCUCUCCAAGGACAUUUAAUUGUACAUGCAGGUGAAGAGACCUGGAGAAGUGAUAAAUGAGGAGGCAGGCAUGCUGGUUGUCAGCAUUAUCAGACAAGCUACUUACUGCUGGAAGAACGGUCAUGGAAGGGGAUCUGUGGCACCAGAAUCAAACUUCUUGAUACAUGUUUGUGCACGAAGGAAGUGAAGCAAGACAACUAAAGGUCUUGAGAACUUCUUUUGCUGAUGCACAUAUCUGAUGGGAAUUGCCUAAACCUGCAGCCAGCUUUUACUCCAUCUCUAAGUUACUGCAUUACAGAGUAGGAAGGGAUUCCAACUGUAGCUGAUGCACCAUCGUAUGGUUAUCACGUGGUGAGAUCUAGUUAGACUAAGGGACUCUACGUCAUUUUCUGACACAGCAGAUUGAGCAUGAGACUGUACAAAUACAAGUUUGAUAACCUGGAAAAAUGAAGUCAGAGUAAUGCAUAAAUGCAGAAUUACAAGUAAAUUCAAGUUGUAAGUCUUUAACGAAGUGCAACUCCCACUGUAGUUGUCUAAAAUC